rnacentral:piRNA from 1 species
UAAAUGUCUCGAGUUGAUGCCUGCAG